UCUACAAGUGUGACAUCAGCGGUCAUGGAGAGUCUCCAUCCAGCUGGAUCACUGUCACAGGGGAACACACCACCACACCUCCACCUACAUCCUCUGCUCCUACCUCCACCUCCAUCAUUCUUUCUCCAUCACUCUUUUAUCCUGUAAUUCCCAUGUUGUCAUCAGUGUGUGUUGUGGUUCUACUGGUGUUACUGGUUCACAGGAAACCUGAAGCAGAUCAAGCAGAAGUUGGAGAAGAUGACAUCAUCACUCAUGUCAUGUACAACACUGUCAAGAUAACAAAAGCCAAUCUGAUGAAGCAGAGUGACUGAUUCAGUGGACUCAGCAGUGAGACCUGAAAACAUCAGUUAUGGGCAAACAAUCAUCAGAACAAGGAGGCCCAGCAUGUCUUUAUCCUGUCUUCCUUCUCUCACCCCAACCGGUCGC